rnacentral:rRNA from 1 species
GCAUCAUGCUUUUAAUACGUGAUCGAUGCGUACAGAGGCAGCGUACAUACACUCUCAAUAGCAUCUGUGUAUCCAUCUACUAUCUGUUAUUGAUCCUAUAUGGCCACCAUAACACGAAACCAACCACCAACACCUAGAACAAACUUGCCCGCCGCCGGAGCCAUGAUGAGCGCCGUGUGCUUUUUGUUGGCGUGCUUGGCGGCAGCCAUGCGGCCGACGUCGGCCGCCGAGGCUGGAAGGGAUGGGAUCUUGCAUAUCCCUUUCGCCGCCGACCUGGCUCGGGCUCGCUGCCCUUCCAGAUGCGGGCAUGUUAACAUUUACUACCCAUGGGGGAUAGGGCCGGGCUGCUUCCGGCAAGGCUUCGAGCUCACGUGCAACAACACCACUAGUCAUAAGAAGCUCUUUCUGGCCAAAACUACCACUGAGGUCCUUGCCCUGUAUCCCGAAGACAAUAUGAUCUAUUCCCCUGUUAUCCACUUCAACGUCACCAUGGCACCAGGUAUGAAUGACACCUAUGAUAUGUCAUGGGAGGCACCUGUUAAAGGUCUUAUGGCGUCUGAAGAAACAGGCUUGUUCGUUGUUGGCUGUGGUGUGGGUGUCUACUUGUUCGGCCAUGAUACCAACAAGCCCAUAGGUUCUUGCACGAGUAUUUGCAUAGACAACAAAGAGGCCAUGAAGGAGUCAAAUGCAAACCAGUUCGAUAGCGAUGGUGGGAUGGGAUACUGUUCCAUCCGUUUGCAGCACGACGUGCGAGCCUUUGGGUUCAUAGUUGGGCGCCUCAAUGGUGGCUUCUCAGCACUAUCAAGUCGAGGUCAAGGGCUCUCUAAUAGCAGUAUCAAAGUUUUCUUGGCCGAAGAUUACAAAUUUCAUAUGGUUGACAUCUAUUCAAGUAGGAUAGACGAACGGAAUGUUGACGGGGUAUAUUUUAGCAUGGCCAUCACGGAUCAACCAAACUGUGAAAGUGCUCAGAAGAACAAGUCAAGCUAUGCUUGUAGCGAUAACAGUGAUUGCCAGGGUCUGUCAUCUGGAGGCUACUCCUGUCGCUGCCGCGGUUACCCAUAUGACGAGAAUCCAUACAUCAUGGACGGCUGUCAAGCAAGUUACACUCCCAAUCCUAAAGGAGGUUGCAAGAGGUUUUGCGGGGACACAAACAUUCCCUUUCCUUUUGGGCUUGAAAAAGGUUGCUACGCUGCCGAAAAGUUUCGUCUUAAUUGUACAUCAGAAAACAUCACAAUUCUUGAUCGAAAUGCCAAAUACAUUGUGGCCAACAUUUCAGUUAAUGAAGGAUAUCUUACUGUUAGAGAAAUACAAAACAACUCAAGGUACGGCGAUGAAGAUCUUGCGGUAGUAGGUUAUACAAAUGAUGGGCACAUGGAACUAGAAGACAUCGUCGGUCAAUAUGGUUUUUAUUUGUCUGAAGAAUACGACAUGAAGAUGUGGUGGUCUGUCGAUAAUUUAACCUGUCCGGUUGAUAUGAGCAAGCAAAGAAGUGCUACGUACGCAUGCCGCAGUGUCAAUAGCACCUGCAUUCAUGUCACCCGCCGCCGUGGGAAUGGGACGAUGCAGCUCGGUUAUCGUUGCCAGUGCUUGCCCAAUUAUGAGGGAAAUCCAUACACACCGGAUGGUUGCACAGAUAUCAACGAGUGUUUGUUGAUCAAUACUUGCAAUGGCACAUGCCAAAAUUAUCCCGGGGGCUAUAGUUGCGAAAACUGCACUCAUGGAAAAGACUUUGAUCCAAUAAAAAGGAGAUGUGUCACAUCAGCAAAGAGACGCAGUCUUCUCUUAGGUAAGUCGUAUUGAAAUUACUUACCUCAAUAGAAUUGCAACUUUAAAGUUAAGGACAUGUUUUAACAACUACUACUAGAUGUAUAGGUAUUACAAUUGGAAUUGGUUGUGGCCUUGGUGCCAUAAUACUUGCGCUAGGUAUAAUGGCUUUCAUCAGCAAGUGGAAGAGAGGCAUACAGAAGAGAAUACGAAGAGCAUACUUCAAGAAAAAUCAAGGCCUACUCUUGGAACAACUAAUAUCAGAUGAAAGUGCCACCGAUAAAAUGAAGAUAUUCUCCUUGGAGGAAUUAAAUAAAGCAACCAAUAACCUUGAUGUCAGUCGUGUUCUUGGCCGUGGAGGACAUGGCACCGUUUACAAAGGAAUUCUAUCUGAUCAACGUGUAGUGGCUAUCAAAAAGUCAAAGCUAGUGGAGCAAACUGAGAUUGACCAGUUUAUCAACGAGGUUGCCAUCUUAUCACAGAUCAUUCACCGAAAUGUGGUCAAGCUUUUCGGUUGUUGUCUCGAAACAGAGGUGCCUUUGUUGGUCUAUGAGUUCAUAUCCAAUGGCACACUAUAUGAUCUUCUUCACACUGAUGUAAGUGCUAAAUGCUUACUUUUAUGGGAUGAUCGUAUUAGGAUUGCAACAGAAGCUGCAGGUGCUCUUUCUUAUCUCCACUCAGCUGCUGCAAUACCAAUUUUCCAUAGAGAUGUCAAAUCUUCCAAUAUACUCCUAGAUGGCAACUUCGCUACCAAGGUUUCUGACUUUGGUGCUUCGAGGUCUUUAUCACUUGAUCAGACACAUGUAGUGACAAUUGUACAAGGAACUUUUGGUUACUUAGACCCCGAGUACUACCACACCGGGGAGCUGAGUGAGAAGAGCGAUGUUUAUAGCUUUGGAAUUAUACUGGUGGAGCUUCUAAUGAGAAAGAAGCCAAUUUUUAUUAAUGAACAAGGUAUAAAACAAAGCUUGGCUCAUUGCUUUGUGGAAGGACUUCAGCAAGGAGUUCUCAUGGAAAUCAUGGAUCCCCAAGUUGCAGAAGAAGCGAACCAGAAUGAAAUUGAUGAAAUUGCCUCAGUUGCGGAAGCAUGCUUGAAAACCAAAGGAAGAGAAAGGCCUACCAUGAAAGAGGUAGAAAUGAAGUUGCAACUCCUAAAAACUAGAAGAUUAAGGAGUCAACUUCCUCCCAUAAAUGAUGGAGAGAUCGAGUCACUUGGGUGCCUAAAUGGCGCUAGCUCUCAUGCACAGAGCAACAGCAUUGUCAGUAAUGUUGGCUUAACACCUACAUGCAGCUCCGGAAAGUACAGUCUGGAGCAAGAGUUUUUGAACUCGGCCAGCUUUCCACGCUAGCGAAGCACACAAUGGAAUGAUCGUCUGCUUACUAAGCUUCUCAGGUGCAUGUCAGUUACCCUACGCAUGCUUAUAUAGAAAAACUAUGCAAUGUAUGUAGUUCCUUUCAGUGGGAGUAUGCCAUGUAAAUUUCCGAAUUGUGUUUGUAGCUUAUCUCAUCUGUGUAAUUUCUUUCGAUGGCAACUUAUUGCAAUUAAGCUACAGUGGUGAAUAAAGUUAUUUUAUCAUUGUUUUUUUUCUUUUUCAACAAA